ensembl:lncRNA
GUGGUAAUAGUGGUGAUAAUAGUGGUGAUAUGGCUAUUGAUAUGACUGUUGAUAUGGCUGUUGAUAAUACUGGUGAUAAUAAUGGUGAUAGUAAUAUGAUAACUACCAGUUUUGGAAAAGACCAAGCUAAGCAACAAACAAAUAUAAAAUCAAAUGUACAACCUGUAGGAAGUAUGCAAAACGAAAAAACGAAAGACAUUAUAACAUUAAUCGAAAAACGGUAUAUUGAUUAUGAAAAUUUAAAAAAAGGGGAUGUAUUUUUUUGUAGAUUUGAUAAUGUGAAAAAAAGAAAUAUUCGUAAUAUUUUUAACUUGUCAAACAAUAUUAUUAAUAAAAUUUUUAACACAUAUUUUUAUAAUGAUAAGGAUUUAGCUAUUUGGGAUCAAGAGGAAUUCGUUCACAGUGGCAGUGGCAGUGCCAGUAGUAACAGUAGCAGUGGUACUGAGUCAAAAAAACAAAUUCCUAAAACCAAAACUCUUAAACAACUAAAAUUCGAAGAAAUUUUUUUUGAUAAGCGUAAUAUAUAUAUAAUGAGAGGUGAAUUGCAUGAAGGAACUGAAUAUUAUUUUAAUAAAAAUAAAAUUGACAAAAAUUAUAAAAUGUUAAAACAAACAUGUGAUAAUUAUUAUUCAGGUAUUAAUCAAGCUUAUAGUAGUUAUUCGAAUAUACGUGAAGAAUAUAUAUUAAGAUAUUUAGGUAAAGAAAAUUAUAAAAUAUAUAGAAAAAUUAUAAGUGAUUAUUUUUCAUGUAAUGAAUAUUCAUAUAAAGAAUUUAUUCAAACAGAUUGUAAUGAAUUAGUAAAAUCGUCAAUAAUUGAUUUGGCAUAUAAUAAUCCAAAUAAUUUAACAAUAAAUAUAAUUAAAAAUUAUAAAAAAGAUUUAUUUGAAAAAAUAACAAAACUUAAUAUAAACGAAUUAAAUUAUUUGUUAAAAGAUUUGAUUAAAUUAAAAAAUAGUUUAAGUGUAUAUCCAUUAACAUAUGAAACCAGUAUAGGUAAAAUGAAUUUAAUAUUAAAUAAUCAAAAACCAAUAAAAAAAAAUUAUAUUUUAAAUUUAAACAUAGAUAACACUAUAAAACAAGAAUUAUUAAAAUACGUUCAUAAUUUUAUUUAUCCUAUUGAUUAUAUAAAAGAAAUUAUAUUAAAAAAAAAACAAAAAGAAAUUCAAAAAAAUAACCAAAUGGAAACUAUAUAUUUGUUAGCAGAAGAAACUAUAAAUAUAUAUGAAAACUCGGCAAAAAAUGUUGAACCUUUUAAUAAUAAUCAAUUAGAAUUAUUAAAAUCAUAUGUAAUGAAAAAAAAAAGAGGAGGUAUGUACAAAAAUGCGAAUCAAAAUGAAAGUGAAAAUUUCAAAGAUGUCUUAUUUGAUGCGGAGAACAGUCAAAUUAGGAAAAUUCUACAUAUCAUUAAAGAGGACCUAGAAAAACAAAAAAAAAAAAGAAAAAUCGAUGAAGUAGACCGAGAGUAUGAUGAAGAGCAGAGUAGUUACAAAGAUGCAACAGAUCUGUACAAAACUUUUCCAGAGCUAGAAGAAAUGGAUAAACUGACUGAAGAUGCGUUUGAUAUGAAGCUUCCUUUUGUCGAAUGAGUGUUAUUUAAUUGUGUAGUUGUCGGAUUUUUUUAUUUUUUAUUUUUUAUACAUUAAAAAAAAAUAUAUAUAAUUAAUAAUAUGCAAACUCAUACGUGCAUACGUAUAAAUAUAUAUAUAUAUAUAUAUGUGUUUAUAUAUAACAUAAACAACUGAUUGUAAAUUGUCUAUAUACAUAUAUGCAAUCGCUCCAAAUGAAUAUAACAAAAAAAAAAAAAAAAAAAAAAAAAAAAAAAAAUUAUAAGUCAAAAUAUUGUAGAACUAAAUAAACAAAAAAGUUAAUAAAAGUGAACCA